AUGAACGCUGGCGGCGUGCCUAAUACAUGCAAGUCGAGCGAACAGACGAGGAGCUUGCUCCUCUGACGUUAGCGGCGGACGGGUGAGUAACACGUGGAUAACCUACCUAUAAGACUGGGAUAACUUCGGGAAACCGGAGCUAAUACCGGAUAAUAUAUUGAACCGCAUGGUUCAAUAGUGAAAGACGGUUUUGCUGUCACUUAUAGAUGGAUCCGCGCCGCAUUAGCUAGUUGGUAAGGUAACGGCUUACCAAGGCAACGAUGCGAAGCCGACCUGAGAGGGUGAUCGGCCACACUGGAACUGAGACACGGUCCAGACUCCUACGGGAGGCAGCAGUAGGGAAUCUUCCGCAAUGGGCGAAAGCCUGACGGAGCAACGCCGCGUGAGUGAUGAAGGUCUUCGGAUCGUAAAACUCUGUUAUUAGGGAAGAACAAAUGUGUAAGUAACUAUGCACGUCUUGACGGUACCUAAUCAGAAAGCCACGGCUAACUACGUG
rnacentral:rRNA from 1 species